rfam:Candidatus Syntrophoarchaeum caldarius isolate BOX2 BOX2_8_reassembly_contig01, whole genome shotgun sequence.
GCCUCGGUGGCUCAGCUGGCAGAGCGCGUGCUUGGUAAGCACGAGGUCGCGGGUUCAAAUCCCGCCCGAGGCU